GCGAGAUGGACAAAUUAUCUAUUCACGAAAAUACUCUGUUAAUAGAUAUUCUUAAAUUUUCUUAGACCUAGACCCUGUAGAUUAGGCUGCCUAAAAAUAUUUCAGACUUAAAAAUUCUGUCAAAACUUCGACAAAACCUCCUCUAAAUUAUAGAUAUUUACCUCCCGUAGAACAGGUCCAGAACCUGCUAGAAACACUUCAAAUAUUUUGCAAUUAACUAACGAGAGUUGAGCUGCUAGUACUGUAUUAUUUUUUUCGACUCUACAAUAUACCACAAAUCACAAUUAAUUAAAUCCAAUUAAGUUUAAUUUAUCUAUAAUUGAUAAUUAACAGCAACAAAAUUUUUCUAAAAUUAUAACAUAAUUUUUGAGGUCUAAAUUAAAUUACACCGAGCUGAAAUUUCAAUUCCUACCAACAGUUUCGGAAUUCAAAUUCGUAAGCGUCUACGGGAAGCUCGAAUUGCAAGGAGUCCGAAAACACAAGAGUUUCGUCCGGAAGGCAUCGGAUCGGGGCUGGAAAGUCUCGGCUCUGGCGAAGCUCCUCCGAGGCUGCCGAUGGUGGAAAGUGGCGGGGGAGGCUUUUUUCUCGGGUUUUCGGCGGUGAGGGAUCCGAAUCCGGCAUCAGACGAUCGAUUGGACAUCGGUAGGCGGCCAAAACAGCGACGACAACUCCUUCUUCCUUCGGUUGAAGUCGCUGUGGAAGGGAAGGAAAAGGGGAAGGGCAACACAGUAGCGUGGGGGGAAGGAGGCGCUGCUGGCGGCGGCGGCGGCCUGUUCGGUGCGCAAGCAGGAGGGGAAAGAGGGGAGUCGAUGUAGGGGAGAGGAAAGGGGAGGAAAGAAAAAAAAGAGAAAAAUGUUUUUUUAAAUUAUUAUUAUUAUUAUUAUUUUCGGGUAUUACACUAGUAUU
rnacentral:lncRNA from 1 species